rnacentral:rRNA from 1 species
AUUGAACGCUGGCGGCAGGCCUAACACAUGCAAGUCGAGCGGGGUUUUCGGACCUAGCGGCGGACGGGUGAGUAAUGCGUAGGAAGCUACCCGAUAGAGGGGGAUACCAGUUGGAAACGACUGUUAAUACCGCAUAAUGUCUACGGACCAAAGUGUGGGACCUUCGGGCCACAUGCUAUCGGAUGCGCCUACGUGGGAUUAGCUAGUUGGUGAGGUAAUGGCUCACCAAGGCGACGAUCCCAAGCUGGUUUGAGAGGAUGCUCAGCCACACUGGAACUGAGACACGGUCCAGACUCCUGCGGGAGGCAGCAGUGGGGAAUAUUGGACAAUGGGCGCAAGCCUGAUCCAGCCAUGCCGCGUGUGUGAAGAAGGCCUUCGGGUUGUAAAGCACUUUCAGUAGGGAGGAAGCGUUGUGUGUUAAUAGUACACAGCGUUGACGUUACCUACAGAAGAAGCACCGGCUAACUCUGUGCCAGCCGCCGCCGUAAUAC